rnacentral:hammerhead_ribozyme from 15 species
AACUGGUCGGGAGUUGAUGCCGCUCUCCUAAUAAGGCUAUGGUAGGCCGAAACCAGUU